rnacentral:other from 1 species
CGCGCCCGACUCCGUGCGUGGCUUCGACCGCAUAUGUAGAACCAACAGCUACUGAGAGGGAGUCCGGGUCCGGCGAAGGUCGUCGACCGAAGCCGGCAGGACACCCACCUGGUUCGCCAGGUUCCUCACGGUCGAGGUUGCACGGCGGAGUGGGGCGCGU